rnacentral:rRNA from 1 species
UGAGGAAUAUUGGUCAAUGGGGGCAACCCUGAACCAGCCAAGUCGCGUGAAGGAUGAAGGUCUUAUGGAUUGUAAACUUCUUUUAUACAGGAAUAAAUUGGGGGACGUGUCCCCUCUUGCAUGUACUGUAUGAAUAAGGAUCGGCUAACUCCGUGCCAGCAGCCGCGGUAAUACGGAGGAUCCGAGCGUUAUCCGGAUUUAUUGGGAUUAAAGGGUGCGCAGGCGGGAUGUUAAGUCGGCGGUGAAAUUUUGCAGCUCAACUGUAAAAGUGCCUUCGAUACUGGCCUCCUUGAGUGUGGAUGAAGUAGGCGGAAUUUGUGGUGUAGCGGUGAAAUGCUUAGAUAUCACGAGGAACUCCGAUUGCGCAGGCAGCUUACUAAGCCACAACUGACGCUCAUGCACGAAGGCGUGGGGAUCAAACA